UGGGUCAGGGUUAGGUUUAGGGUUGGAGCUAGGGUUAGGGUUAGGGUUAGUGUUGGAGCUAGGGUUAGGGUUGGGCUUGGAGCUAGGAUUUGUCUGAGUGCAAUGAACCAACUCCCGAGUCUCUAGGACGUUCCUAAAAAAAUUUGAUUUUUUCCCAUAGGAAUGCAUGGGUUAGGGUUAGGGUUAGGGUUGGAGCUAGGGUUAGGGUUAGGGUUAGGGUUGGAGUUAAGGUUAGUGUUGGAGCUAGGGUUAGGGUUGGGCUUGGAGCUAGGAUUUUUCUGAGUGCAGUGAACCAACUCCCGAGUCUCUAGGACGUUCCUAAAAAAAUUUGAUUUUUUCCCAUAGGAAUGCAUGGGUUAGGGUUAUGGUUAGGGUUAGGGUUGGAGCUAGGGUUAGGGUUAGGGUUAGGGUUGGAGUUAGGGUUAGUGUUGGAGCUAGGGUUAGGGUUGGGCUUGGAGCUAGGAUUUUUCUGAGUGCAAUGAACCAACCCCCGAGUCUCUAGGACGUUCCUAGAAAAAUUUGAUUUUUUCCCAUAGGAAUGCAUGGGUUAGGGUUAUGGUUAGGGUUAGGGUUGGAGCUAGGGUUAGGGUUAGGGUUAGGGUUGGAGUUAGGGUUAGUGUUGGAGCUAGGGUUAGGGUUGGGCUUGGAGCUAGGAUUUUUCUGAGUGCAAUGAACCAACUCCCGAGUCUCUAGGACGUUCCUAAAAAAAUUUGAUUUUUUCCCAUAGGAAUGCAUGGGUUAGGGUUAGGGUUAGGGUUGGAGCUAGGGUUAGGGUUAGGGUUGGAGUUAGGGUUAGUGUUGGAGCUAGGGUUAGGGUUGGGCUUGGAGCUAGGAUUUUUCUGAGUGCAAUGAACCAACUCCCGAGUCUCUAGGACGUUCCUAAAAAAAUUUGAUUUUUCCCAUAGGAAUGCAUGGGUCAGGGUUAGGGUUAGGGUUGGAGCUAGGGUUAGGGUUAGGGUUAGGGUUGGAGUUAGGGUUAGUGUUGGAGCUAGGGUUAGGGUUGGGCUUGGAGCUAGGAUUUUUCUGAGUGCACUGAACCAACUCCCGAGUCUCUAGGACAUUCCUAAAAAAAUUUGAUUUUUUCCCAUAGGAAUGCAUGGGUUAGGGUUAGGGUUAGGGUUGGAGCUAGGGUUAGGGUUAGGGUUAGGGUUGGAGUUAGGGUUAGUGUUGGAGCUAGGGUUAGGGUUGGGCUUGGAGCUAGGAUUUUUCUGAGUGCACUGAACCAACUCCCGAGUCUCUAGGACAUUCCUAAAAAAAUUUGAUUUUUUCCCAUAGGAAUGCAUGGGUUAGGGUUAUGGUUAGGGUUAGGGUUGGAGCUAGGGUUAGGGUUAGGGUUAGGGUUGGAGUUAGGGUUAGGGUUAGUGUUGGAGCUAGGGUUAGGGUUGGGCUUGGAGCUAGGAUUUUUCUGAGUGCAAUGAACCAACUCCCGAGUCUCUAGGACGUUCCCUAAAAAAAUUUGAUUUUUUCCCAUAGGAAUGCAUGGGUUAGGGUUAGGGUUAGGGUUAGGGUUGGAGCUAGGGUUAGGGUUAGGGUUAGGGUUGGAGUUAGGGUUAGUGUUGGAGCUAGGGUUAGGGUUGGGCUUGGAGCUAGGAUUUUUCUGAGUGCAAUGAACCAACUCCCGAGUCUCUAGGACGUUCCAAAAAAAAUUUGAUUUUUUCCCAUAGGAAUGCAUGGGUUAGGGUUAUGGUUAGGGUUAGGGUUGGAGCUAGGGUUAGGGUUAGGGUUAGGGUUGGAGUUAGGGUUAGUGUUGGCGCUAGGGUUAGGGUUGGGCUUGGAGCUAGGAUUUUUCUGAGUGCAAUGAACCAACUCCCGAGUCUCUAGGACGUUCCUAAAAAAAUUUGAUUUUUUCCCAUAGGAAUGCAUGGGUUAGGGUUAGGGUUAGGGUUGGAGCUAGGGUUAGGGUUAGGGUUAGGGUUGGAGUUAGGGUUAGUGUUGGAGCUAGGGUUAGGGUUGGGCUUGGAGCUAGGAUUUUUCUGAGUGCACUGAACCAACUCCCGAGUCUCUAGGACAUUCCUAAAAAAAUUUGAUUUUUUUCCCAUAGGAAUGCAUGGGUUAGGGUUAUGGUUAGGGUUAGGGUUGGAGCUAGGGUUAGGGUUAGGGUUAGGGUUGGAGUUAGGGUUAGUGUUGGAGCUAGGGUUAGGGUUGGGCUUGGAGCUAGGACUUUUCUGAGUGCAAUGAACCAACUCCCGAGUCUCUAGGACGUUCCCUAAAAAAAUUUGAUUUUUUCCCAUAGGAAUGCAUGGGUUAGGGUUAGGGUUAGGGUUGGAGCUAGGGUUAGGGUUAGGGUUAGGGUUGGAGUUAGGGUUAGUGUUGGAGCUAGGGUUAGGGUUGGGCUUGGAGCUAGGAUUUUUCUGAGUGCAAUGAACCAACUCCCGAGUCUCUAGGACGUUCCUAAAAAAAUUUGAUUUUUUCCCAUAGGAAUGCAUGGGUUAGGGUUAGGGUUAGGGUUGGAGCUAGGGUUAGGGUUAGGGUUAGGGUUGGAGUUAGGGUUAGUGUUGGAGCUAGGGUUAGGGUUGGGCUUGGAGCUAGGAUUUUUCUGAGUGCAAUGAACAAACUCCCGAGUCUCUAGGAAGUUCCUAAAAAAAUUUGAUUUUUUCCCAUAGGAAUGCAUGGGUUAGGGUUAGGGUUAGGGUUGGAGCUAGGGUUAGGGUUAGGGUUAGGGUUGGAGUUAGGGUUAGUGUUGGAGCUAGGGUUAGGGUUGGGCUUGGAGCUAGGAUUUUUCUGAGUGCAGUGAACCAACUCCCGAGUCUCUAGGACGUUCCUAAAAAAAUUUGAUUUUUUCCCAUAGGAAUGCAUGGGUCAGGGUUAGGGUUAGGGUUGGAGCUAGGGUUAGGGUUAGGGUUAGGGUUGGAGUUAGGGUUAGUGUUGGAGCUAGGGUUAGGGUUGGGCUUGGAGCUAGGAUUUUUCUGAGUGCAAUGAACCAACUCCCGAGUCUCUAGGACGUUCCUAAAAAAAUUUGAUUUUUUCCCAUAGGAAUGCAUGGGUUAGGGUUAGGGUUAGGGUUGGAGCUAGGGUUAGGGUUAGGGUUAGGGUUGGAGUUAGGGUUAGUGUUAGAGCUAGGGUAAGGUUUGGGCUUGGAGCUAGGAUUUUUCUGAGUGCAAUGAACCAACUCCCGAGUCUCUAGGACGUUCCUAAAAAAAUUUGAUUUUUUCCCAUAGGAAUGCAUGGGUUAGGGUUAGGGUUAGGGUUGGAGCUAGGGUUAGGGUUAGGGUUAGGGUUGGAGUUAGGGUUAGUGUUGGAGCUAGGGUUAGGGUUGGGCUUGGAGCUAGGAUUUUUCUGAGUGCAAUGAACCAACUCCCGAGUCUCUAGGACGUUCCUAAAAAAAUUUGAUUUUUUCCCAUAGGAAUGCAUGGGUUAGGGUUAGGGUUGGAGCUAGUGUUAGGGUUAGGGUUGGAGCUAGGGUUAGGGUUAGGGUUAGGGUUGGAGUUAGGGUUAGUGUUGGAGCUAGGGUUAGGUUUGGGCUUGGAGCUAGGAUUUUUCUGAGUGCAAUGAACCAACUCCCGAGUCUCUAGGACGUUCCUAUAAAAAUUUGAUUUUUUCCCAUAGGAAUGCAUGGGUUAGGGUUAGGGUUAGGGUUGGAGCUAGGGUUAGGGUUAGGGUUAGGGUUGGAGUUAGGGUUAGUGUUGGAGCUAGGGUUAGGGUUGGGCUUGGAGCUAGGAUUUUUCUGAGUGCAAUGAACCAACUCCCGAGUCUCUAGGACGUUCCUAAAAAAAUUUGAUUUUUUCCCAUAGGAAUGCAUGGGUUAGGGUUAUGGUUAGGGUUAGGGUUGGAGCUAGGGUUAGGGUUAGGGUUAGGGUUGGAGUUAGGGUUAGUGUUGGAGCUAGGGUUAGGGUUGGGCUUGGAGCUAGGACUUUUCUGAGUGCAAUGAACCAACUCCCGAGUCUCUAGGACGUUCCCUAAAAAAAUUUGAUUUUUUCCCAUAGGAAUGCAUGGGUUAGGGUUAGGGUUAGGGUUGGAGCUAGGGUUAGGGUUAGGGUUAGGGUUGGAGUUAGGGUUAGUGUUGGAGCUAGGGUUAGGGUUGGGCUUGGAGCUAGGAUUUUUCUGAGUGCAAUGAACCAACUCCCGAGUCUCUAGGACGUUCCUAAAAAAAUUUGAUUUUUUCCCAUAGGAAUGCAUGGGUUAGGGUUAGGGUUAGGGUUGGAGCUAGGGUUAGGGUUAGGGUUAGGGUUGGAGUUAGGGUUAGUGUUGGAGCUAGGGUUAGGGUUGGGCUUGGAGCUAGGAUUUUUCUGAGUGCAAUGAACCAACUCCCGAGUCUCUAGGAAGUUCCUAAAAAAAUUUGAUUUUUUCCCAUAGGAAUGCAUGGGUUAGGGUUAGGGUUAGGGUUGGAGCUAGGGUUAGGGUUAGGGUUAGGGUUGGAGUUAGGGUUAGUGUUGGAGCGAGGGUUAGGGUUGGGCUUGGAGCUAGGAUUUUUCUGAGUGCAGUGAACCAACUCCCGAGUCUCUAGGACGUUCCUAAAAAAAUUUGAUUUUUUCCCAUAGGAAUGCAUGGGUCAGGGUUAGGGUUAGGGUUGGAGCUAGGGUUAGGGUUAGGGUUAGGGUUGGAGUUAGGGUUAGUGUUGGAGCUAGGGUUAGGGUUGGGCUUGGAGCUAGGAUUUUUCUGAGUGCAAUGAACCAACUCCCGAGUCUCUAGGACGUUCCUAAAAAAAUUUGAUUUUUUCCCAUAGGAAUGCAUGGGUUAGGGUUAGGGUUAGGGUUGGAGCUAGGGUUAGGGUUAGGGUUAGGGUUGGAGUUAGGGUUAGUGUUAGAGCUAGGGUAAGGUUUGGGCUUGGAGCUAGGAUUUUUCUGAGUGCAAUGAACCAACUCCCGAGUCUCUAGGACGUUCCUAAAAAAAUUUGAUUUUUUCCCAUAGGAAUGCAUGGGUUAGGGUUAGGGUUAGGGUUGGAGCUAGGGUUAGGGUUAGGGUUAGGGUUGCAGUUAGGGUUAGUGUUGGAGCUAGGGUAAGGGUUGGGCUUGGAGCUAGGAUUUUUCUGAGUGCAAUGAACCAACUCCCGAGUCUCUAGGACGUUCCUAAAAAAAUUUGAUUUUUUUCCAUAGGAAUGCAUGGGUUAGGGUUAGGGUUGGAGCUAGUGUUAGGGUUAGGGUUGGAGCUAGGGUUAGGGUUAGGGUUAGGGUUGGAGUUAGGGUAAGUGUUGGAGCUAGGGUUAGGUUUGGGCUUGGAGCUAGGAUUUUUCUGAGUGCAAUGAACCAACUCCCGAGUCUCUAGGACGUUCCUAUAAAAAUUUGAUUUUUUCCCAUAGGAAUGCAUGGGUUAGGGUUAGGGUUAGGGUUGGAGCUAGGGUUAGGGUUAGGGUUAGGGUUGGAGUUAGGGUUAGUGUUGGAGCUAGGGUUAGGGUUGGGCUUGGAGCUAGGAUUUUUCUGAGUGCAAUGAACCAACUCCCGAGUCUCUAGGACGUUCCUAAAAAAAUUUGAUUUUUUCCCAUAGGAAUGCAUGGGUUAGGGUUAGGGUUAGGGUUGGAGCUAGGGUUAGGGUUAGGGUUAGGGUUGGAGUUAAGGUUAGUGUUGGAGCUAGGGUUAGGGUUGGGCUUGGAGCUAGGAUUUUUCUGAGUGCAGUGAACCAACUCCCGAGUCUCUAGGACGUUCCUAAAAAAAUUUGAUUUUUUCCCAUAGGAAUGCAUGGGUUAGGGUUAUGGUUAGGGUUAGGGUUGGAGCUAGGGUUAGGGUUAGGGUUAGGGUUGGAGUUAGGGUUAGUGUUGGAGCUAGGGUUAGGGUUGGGCUUGGAGCUAGGAUUUUUCUGAGUGCAAUGAACCAACUCCCGAGUCUCUAGGACGUUCCUAAAAAAAUUUGAUUUUUUCCCAUAGGAAUGCAUGGGUUAGGGUUAUGGUUAGGGUUAGGGUUGGAGCUAGGGUUAGGGUUAGGGUUAGGGUUGGAGUUAGGGUUAAUGUUGGAGCUAGGGUUAGGGUUGGGCUUGGAGAUAGGAUUUUUCUGAGUGCAAUGAACCAACUCCCGAGUCUCUAGGACGUUCCUAAAAAAAAUUGAUUUUUUCCCAUAGGAAUGCAUGGGUUAGGGUUAGGGUUAGGGUUGGAGCUAGGGUUAGGGUUAGGGUUGGAGUUAGGGUUAGUGUUGGAGCUAGGGUUAGGGUUGGGCUUGGAGCUAGGAUUUUUCUGAGUGCACUGAACCAACUCCCGAGUCUCUAGGACAUUCCUAAAAAAAUUUGAUUUUUUUCCCAUAGGAAUGCAUGGGUUAGGGUUAUGGUUAGGGUUAGGGUUGGAGCUAGGGUUAGGGUUAGGGUUAGGGUUGGAGUUAGGGUUAGUGUUGGAGCUAGGGUUAGGGUUGGGCUUGGAGCUAGGAUUUUUCUGAGUGCAAUGAACCAACUCCCGAGUCUCUUGGACGUUCCUAAAAAAAUUUGAUUUUUUCCCAUAGGAAUGCAUGGGUUAGGGUUAGGGUUAGGGUUGGAGCUAGGGUUAGGGUUAGGGUUGGAGUUAGGGUUAGUGUUGGAGCUAGGGUUAGGGUUGGGCUUGGAGCUAGGAUUUUUCUGAGUGCAAUGAACCAACUCCCGAGUCUCUAGGACGUUCCUAAAAAAAUUUGAGUUUUUCCCAUAGGAAUGCAUGGGUUAGGGUUAUGGUUAGGGUUGGAGCUAGGGUUAGGGUUAGGGUUAGGGUUGGAGUUAGGGUUAGUGUUGGAGCUAGGGUUAGGGUUGGGCUUGGAGCUAGGAUUUUUCUGAGUGCAAUGAACCAACUCCCGAGUCUCUAGGACGUUCCUAAAAAAAUUUGAUUUUUUCCCAUAGGAAUGCAUGGGUUAGGGUUAGGGUUAGGGUUGGAGCUAGGGUUAGGGUUAGGGUUAGGGUUGGAGUUAGGGUUAGUGUUGGAGCUAGGGUAAGGUUUGGGCUUGGAGCUAGGAUUUUUCUGAGUGCAAUGAACCAACUCCCGAGUCUCUAGGACGUUCCUAAAAAAAUUUGAUUUUUUUCCCAUAGGAAUGCAUGGGUUAGGGUUAGGGUUAGGGUUGGAGCUAGGGUUAGGGUUAGGGUUAGGGUUGGAGUUAGGGUUAGUGUUGGAGCUAGGGUUAGGGUUGGGCUUGGAGCUAGGAUUUUUCUGGGUGCAAUGAACCAACUCCCGACUCUCUAGGACGUUCCUAAAAAAAUUUGAUUUUUUCCCAUAGGAAUGCAUGGGUUAGGGUUAUGGUUAGGGUUAGGGUUGGAGCUAGGGUUAGGGUUAGGGUUAGGGUUGGAGUUAGGGUUAGUGUUGGAGCUAGGGUUAGGGUUGGGCUUGGAGCUAGGAUUUUUCUGAGUGCAAUGAACCAACUCCCGAGUCUCGAGGACGUUCCAAAAAAAAUUUGAUUUUUUCCCAUAGGAAUGCAUGGGUUAGGGUUAUGGUUAGGGUUGGAGCUAGGGUUAGGGUUAGGGUUAGGGUUGGAGUUAAGGUUAGUGUUGGAGCUAGGGUUAGGGUUGGGCUUGGAGCUAGGAUUUUUCUGAGUGCAGUGAACCAACUCCCGAGUCUCUAGGACGUUCCUAAAAAAAUUUGAUUUUUUCCCAUAGGAAUGCAUGGGUUAGGGUUAUGGUUAGGGUUAGGGUUGGAGCUAGGGUUAGGGUUAGGGUUAGGGUUGGAGUUAGGGUUAGUGUUGGAGCUAGGGUUAGGGUUGGGCUUGGUACUAGGAUUUUUCUGAGUGCAAUGAACCAACCCCCGAGUCUCUAGGACGUUCCUAAAAAAAUUAGAUUUUUUCCCAUAGGAAUGCAUGGGUUAGGGUUAUGGUUAGGGUUAGGGUUGGAGCUAGGGUUAGGGUUAGGGUUAGGGUUGGAGCUAGGGUUAGGGUUAGGGUUAGGGUUGGAGUUAGGGUUAGUGUUGGAGCUAGGGUUAGGGUUGGGCUUGGAGCUAGGAUUUUUCUGAGUGCAAUGAACCAACUCCCGAGUCUCUAGGACGUUCCUAAAAAAAUGUGAGUUUUUCCCAUAGGAAUGCAUGGGUUAGGGUUAGGGUUAGGGUUGGAGCUAGGGUUAGGGUUAGGGUUAGGGUUGGAGUUAGGGUUAGUGUUGGAGCUAGGGUUAGGGUUGGGCUUGGAGCUAGGAUUUUUCUGAGUGCAAUGAACCAACUCCCGAGUCUCUAGGACGUUCCUAAAAAAAUUUGAUUUUUUCCCAUAGGAAUGCAUGGGUUAGGGUUAGGGUUAGGGUUAGGGUUGGAGCUAGGGUUAGGGUUAGGGUUAGGGUUGGAGUUAGGGUUAGUGUUGGAGCUAGGGUUAGGGUUGGGCUUGGAGCUAGGAUUUUUCUGAGUGCAAUGAACCAACUCCCGAGUCUCUAGGACGUUCCAAAAAAAAUUUGAUUUUUUCCCAUAGGAAUGCAUGGGUUAGGGUUAGGGUUAGGGUUGGAGCUAGGGUUAGGGUUAGGGUUAGGGUUGGAGUUAUGGUUAGUGUUGGAGCUAGGGUUAGGGUUUGGCUUGGAGCUAGGAUUUUUCUGAGUGCAGUGAACCAACUCCCGAGUCUCUAGGACGUUCCUAAAAAAAUUUGAUUUUUUCCCAUAGGAAUGCAUGGGUUAGGGUUAUGGUUAGGGUUAGGGUUGGAGCUAGGGUUAGGGUUAGGGUUAGGGUUGGAGUUAGGGUUAGUGUUGGAGCUAGGGUUAGGGUUGGGCUUGGAGCUAGGAUUUUUCUGAGUGCAAUGAACCAACUCCCGAGUCUCUAGGACGUUCCUAAAAAAAUUUGAUUUUUUCCCAUAGGAAUGCAUGGGUUAGGGUUAUGGUUAUGGUUAGGGUUGGAGCUAGGGUUAGGGUUAGGGUUAGGGUUGGAGUUAGGGUUAGUGUUGGAGCUAGGGUUAGGGUUGGGCUUGGAGCUAGGAUUUUUCUGAGUGCAAUGAACCAACUCCCGAGUCUCUAGGACGUUCCUAAAAAAAUUUGAUUUUUUCCCAUAGGAAUGCAUGGGUCAGGGUUAGGGUUAGGGUUGGAGCUAGGGUUAGGGUUAGGGUUAGGGUUGGAGUUAGGGUUAGUGUUGGAGCUAGGGUUAGGGUUGGGCUUGGAGCUAGGAUUUUUCUGAGUGCACUGAACCAACUCCCGAGUCUCUAGGACAUUCCUAAAAAAUUUGAUUUUUUCCCAUAGGAAUGCAUGGGUUAGGGUUAGGGUUAGGGUUGGAGCUAGGGUUAGGGUUAGGGUUAGGGUUGGAGUUAGGGUUAGUGUUGGAGCUAGGGUUAGGGUUGGGCUUGGAGCUAGGAUUUUUCUGAGUGCAAUGAACCAACUCCCGAGUCUCUAGGACGUUCCUAAAAAAAUUUGAUUUUUUCCCAUAGGAAUGCAUGGGUUAGGGUUAGGGUUAGGGUUGGAGCUAGGGUUAGGGUUAGGGUUAGGGUUAGGGUUGGAGUUAGGGUUAGUGUUGGAGCUAGGGUUAGGGUUGGGCUUGGAGCUAGGAUUUUUCUGAGUGCACUGAACCAACUCCCGAGUCUCUAGGACAUUCCUAAAAAAAUUUGAUUUUUUCCCAUAGGAAUGCAUGGGUUAGGGUUAGGGUUAGGGUUGGAGCUAGGGUUAGGGUUAGGGUUAGGGUUGGAGUUAGGGUUAGUGUUGGAGCUAGGUUUAGGGUUGGGCUUGGAGCUAGGAUUUUUCUGAGUGCACUGAACCAACUCCCGAGUCUCUAGGACAUUCCUAAAAAAAUUUGAUUUUUUCCCAUAGGAAUGCAUGGGUUAGGGUUAGGGUUAGGGUUGGAGCUAGGGUUAGGGUUAGGGUUAGGGUUGGAGUUAGGGUUAGUGUUGGAGCUAGGGUUAGGGUUGGGCUUGGAGCUAGGAUUUUUCUGAGUGCAAUGAACCAACUCCCGAGUCUCUAGGACGUUCCUAAAAAAAUUUGAUUUUUUCCCAUAGGAAUGCAUGGGUUAUGGUUAGGGUUAGGGUUGGAGCUAGGGUUAGGGUUAGGGUUAGGGUUAGGGUUGGAGUUAGGGUUAGUGUUGGGGCUAGGGUUAGGGUUGGGCUUGGAGCUAGGAUUUUUCUGAGUGCAAUGAACCAACUCCCGAGUCUCUAGGACGUUCCUAAAAAAAUUUGAUUUUUUCCCAUAGGAAUGCAUGGGUUAGGGUUAGGGUUAGGGUUGGAGCUAGGGUUAGGGUUAGGGUUAGGGUUGGAGAUAGGGUUAGUGUUGGAGCUAGGGUUAGGGUUGGGCUUGGAGCUAGGAUUUUUCUGAGUGCAAUGAACCAACUCCCGAGUCUCUAGGACGUUCCUAAAAAAAUUUGUUUUUUUCCCAUAGGAAUGCAUGGGUCAGGGUUAGGGUUAGGGUUGGAGCUAGGGUUAGGGUUAGGGUUAGGGUUGGAGUUAGGGUUAGUGUUGGAGCUAGGGUUAGGGUUGGGCUUGGAGCUAGGAUUUUUCUGAGUGCACUGAACCAACUCCCGAGUCUCUAGGACAUUCCUAAAAAAAUUUGAUUUUUUCCCAUAGGAAUGCAUGGGUUAGGGUUAGGGUUAGGGUUGGAGCUAGGGUUAGGGUUAGGGUUAGGGUUGGAGUUAGGGUUAGUGUUGGAGCUAGGGUUAGGGUUGGGCUUGGAGCUAGGAUUUUUCUGAGUGCACUGAACCAACUCCCGAGUCUCUAGGACAUUCCUAAAAAAAUUUGAUUUUUUCCCAUAGGAAUGCAUGGGUUAGGGUUAUGGUUAGGGUUAGGGUUGGAGCUAGGGUUAGGGUUAGGGUUAGGGUUGGAGUUAGGGUUGGUGUUGGAGCUAGGGUUAGGGUUGGGCUUUGAGCUAGGACUUUUCUGAGUGCAAUGAACCAACUCCCGAGUCUCUAGGACGUUCCCUAAAAAAAUUUGAUUUUUUCCCAUAGGAAUGCAUGGGUUAGGGUUAGGGUUAGGGUUAGGGUUGGAGCUAGGGUUAGGGUUAGGGUUAGGGUUGGAGUUAGGGUUAGUGUUGGAGCUAGGGUUAGGGUUGGGCUUGGAGCUAGGAUUUUUCUGAGUGCAAUGAACCAACUCCCGAGUCUCUAGGACGUUCCAAAAAAAAUUUGAUUUUUUCCCAUAGGAAUGCAUGGGUUAGGGUUAUGGUUAGGGUUAGGGUUGGAGCUAGGGUUAGGGUUAGGGUUAGGGUUGGAGUUAGGGUUAGUGUUGGAGCUAGGGUUAGGGUUGGGCUUGGAGCUAGGAUUUUUCUGAGUGCAAUGAACCAACUCCCGAGUCUCUAGGACGUUCCUAAAAAAAUUUGAUUUUUUCCCAUAGGAAUGCAUGGGUUAGGGUUAGGGUUAGGGUUGGAGCUAGGGUUAGGGUUAGGGUUAGGGUUGGAGAUAGGGUUAGUGUUGGAGCUAGGGUUAGGGUUGGGCUUGGAGCUAGGAUUUUUCUGAGUGCAAUGAACCAACUCCCGAGUCUCUAGGACGUUCCUAAAAAAAUUUGAUUUUUUCCCAUAGGAAUGCAUGGGUCAGGGUUAGGGUUAGGGUUGGAGCUAGGGUUAGGGUUAGGGUUAGGGUUGGAGUUAGGGUUAGUGUUGGAGCUAGGGUUAGGGUUGGGCUUGGAGCUAGGAUUUUUCUGAGUGCACUGAACCAACUCCCGAGUCUCUAGGACAUUCCUAAAAAAAUUUGAUUUUUUCCCAUAGGAAUGCAUGGGUUAGGGUUAGGGUUAGGGUUGGAGCUAGGGUUAGGGUUAGGGUUAGGGUUGGAGUUAGGGUUAGUGUUGGAGCUAGGGUUAGGGUUGGGCUUGGAGCUAGGAUUUUUCUGAGUGCACUGAACCAACUCCCGAGUCUCUAGGACAUUCCUAAAAAAAUUUGAUUUUUUCCCAUAGGAAUGCAUGGGUUAGGGUUAUGGUUAGGGUUAGGGUUGGAGCUAGGGUUAGGGUUAGGGUUAGGGUUGGAGUUAGGGUUGGUGUUGGAGCUAGGGUUAGGGUUGGGCUUUGGAGCUAGGACUUUUCUGAGUGCAAUGAACCAACUCCCGAGUCUCUAGGACGUUCCCUAAAAAAAUUUGAUUUUUUCCCAUAGGAAUGCAUGGGUUAGGGUUAGGGUUAGGGUUAGGGUUGGAGCUAGGGUUAGGGUUAGGGUUAGGGUUGGAGUUAGGGUUAGGGUUAGGGUUAGGGUUGGAGUUAGGGUUAGUGUUGGAGCUAGGGUUAGGGUUGGGCUUGGAGCUAGGAUUUUUCUGAGUGCAAUGAACCAACUCCCGAGUCUCUAGGACAUUCCUAAAAAAAAUUGAUUUUUUCCCAUAGGAAUGCAUGGGUUAGGGUUAUGGUUAGGGUUAGGGUUGGAGCAAGGGUUAGGGUUAGGGUUAGGGUUGGAGUUAGGGUUAGUGUUGGAGCUAGGGUUAGGGUUGGGCUUGGAGCUAGGACUUUUCUGAGUGCAAUGAACCAACUCCCGAGUCUCUAGGACGUUCCCUAAAAAAAUUUGAUUUUUUCCCAUAGGAAUGCAUGGGUUAGGGUUAGGGUUAGGGUUGGAGCUAGGGUUAGGGUUAGGGUUAGGGUUGGAGUUAGGGUUAGUGUUGGAGCUAGGGUUAGGGUUGGGCUUGGAGCUAGGAUUUUUCUGAGUGCAAUGAACCAACUCCCGAGUCUCUAGGACGUUCCUAAAAAAUUUUGAUUUUUUCCCAUAGGAAUGCAUGGGUUAGGGUUAGGGUUAGGGUUAGGGUUGGAGCUAGGGUUAGGGUUAGGGUUAGGGUUGGAGUUAGGGUUAGUGUUGGAGCUAGGGUUAGGGUUGGGCUUGGAGCUAGGAUUUUUCUGAGUGCAAUGAACCAACUCCCGAGUCUCUAGGACGUUCCAAAAAAAAUUUGAUUUUUUCCCAUAGGAAUGCAUGGGUUAGGGUUAGGGUUAGGGUUGGAGCUAGGGUUAGGGUUAGGGUUAGGGUUGGAGUUAAGGUUAGUGUUGGAGCUAGGGUUAGGGUUUGGCUUGGAGCUAGGAUUUUUCUGAGUGCAGUGAACCAACUCCCGAGUCUCUAGGACGUUCCUAAAAAAAUUUGAUUUUUUCCCAUAGGAAUGCAUGGGUUAGGGUUAUGGUUAGGGUUAGGGUUGGAGCUAGGGUUAGGGUUAGGGUUAGGGUUGGAGUUAGGGUUAGUGUUGGAGCUAGGGUUAGGGUUGGGCUUGGAGCUAGGAUUUUUCUGAGUGCAAUGAACCAACUCCCGAGUCUCUAGGACGUUCCUAAAAAAAUUUGAUUUUUUCCCAUAGGAAUGCAUGGGUUAGGGUUAUGGUUAGGGUUAGGGUUGGAGCUAGGGUUAGGGUUAGGGUUAGGGUUAGGGUUGGAGUUAGGGUUAGUGUUGGAGCUAGGGUUAGGGUUGGGCUUGGAGCUAGGAUUUUUCUGAGUGCAAUGAACCAACUCCCGAGUCUCUAGGACGUUCCUAAAAAAAUUUGAUUUUUUCCCAUAGGAAUGCAUGGGUCAGGGUUAGGGUUAGGGUUGGAGCUAGGGUUAGGGUUAGGGUUAGGGUUGGAGUUAGGGUUAGUGUUGGAGCUAGGGUUAGGGUUGGGCUUGGAGCUAGGAUUUUUCUGAGUGCACUGAACCAACUCCCGAGUCUCUAGGACAUUCCUAAAAAAAUUUGAUUUUUUCCCAUAGGAAUGCAUGGGUUAGGGUUAGGGUUAGGGUUGGAGCUAGGGUUGGGGUUAGGGUUAGGGUUGGAGUUAGGGUUAGUGUUGGAGCUAGGGUUAGGGUUGGGCUUGGAGCUAGGAUUUUUCUGAGUGCAAUGAACCAACUCCCGAGUCUCUAGGACGUUCCUAAAAAAAUUUGAUUUUUUCCCAUAGGAAUGCAUGGGUUAGGGUUAGGGUUAGGGUUGGAGCUAGGGUUAGGGUUAGGGUUAGGGUUAGGGUUGGAGUUAGGGUUAGUGUUGGAGCUAGGGUUAGGGUUGGGCUUGGAGCUAGGAUUUUUCUGAGUGCACUGAACCAACUCCCGAGUCUCUAGGACAUUCCUAAAAAAAUUUGAUUUUUUCCCAUAGGAAUGCAUGGGUUAGGGUUAGGGUUAGGGUUGGAGCUAGGGUUAGGGUUAGGGUUAGGGUUGGAGUUAGGGUUAGUGUUGGAGCUAGGUUUAGGGUUGGGCUUGGAGCUAGGAUUUUUCUGAGUGCACUGAACCAACUCCCGAGUCUCUAGGACAUUCCUAAAAAAAUUUGAUUUUUUCCCAUAGGAAUGCAUGGGUUAGGGUUAGGGUUAGGGUUGGAGCUAGGGUUAGGGUUAGGGUUAGGGUUGGAGUUAGGGUUAGUGUUGGAGCUAGGGUUAGGGUUGGGCUUGGAGCUAGGAUUUUUCUGAGUGCAAUGAACCAACUCCCGAGUCUCUAGGACGUUCCUAAAAAAAUUUGAUUUUUUCCCAUAGGAAUGCAUGGGUUAUGGUUAGGGUUAGGGUUGGAGCUAGGGUUAGGGUUAGGGUUAGGGUUAGGGUUGGAGUUAGGGUUAGUGUUGGGGCUAGGGUUAGGGUUGGGCUUGGAGCUAGGAUUUUUCUGAGUGCAAUGAACCAACUCCCGAGUCUCUAGGACGUUCCUAAAAAAAUUUGAUUUUUUCCCAUAGGAAUGCAUGGGUUAGGGUUAGGGUUAGGGUUGGAGCUAGGGUUAGGGUUAGGGUUAGGGUUGGAGAUAGGGUUAGUGUUGGAGCUAGGGUUAGGGUUGGGCUUGGAGCUAGGAUUUUUCUGAGUGCAAUGAACCAACUCCCGAGUCUCUAGGACGUUCCUAAAAAAAUUUGUUUUUUUCCCAUAGGAAUGCAUGGGUCAGGGUUAGGGUUAGGGUUGGAGCUAGGGUUAGGGUUAGGGUUAGGGUUGGAGUUAGGGUUAGUGUUGGAGCUAGGGUUAGGGUUGGGCUUGGAGCUAGGAUUUUUCUGAGUGCACUGAACCAACUCCCGAGUCUCUAGGACAUUCCUAAAAAAAUUUGAUUUUUUCCCAUAGGAAUGCAUGGGUUAGGGUUAGGGUUAGGGUUGGAGCUAGGGUUAGGGUUAGGGUUAGGGUUGGAGUUAGGGUUAGUGUUGGAGCUAGGGUUAGGGUUGGGCUUGGAGCUAGGAUUUUUCUGAGUGCACUGAACCAACUCCCGAGUCUCUAGGACAUUCCUAAAAAAAUUUGAUUUUUUCCCAUAGGAAUGCAUGGGUUAGGGUUAUGGUUAGGGUUAGGGUUGGAGCUAGGGUUAGGGUUAGGGUUAGGGUUGGAGUUAGGGUUGGUGUUGGAGCUAGGGUUAGGGUUGGGCUUUGAGCUAGGACUUUUCUGAGUGCAAUGAACCAACUCCCGAGUCUCUAGGACGUUCCCUAAAAAAAUUUGAUUUUUUCCCAUAGGAAUGCAUGGGUUAGGGUUAGGGUUAGGGUUAGGGUUGGAGCUAGGGUUAGGGUUAGGGUUAGGGUUGGAGUUAGGGUUAGUGUUGGAGCUAGGGUUAGGGUUGGGCUUGGAGCUAGGAUUUUUCUGAGUGCAAUGAACCAACUCCCGAGUCUCUAGGACGUUCCAAAAAAAAUUUGAUUUUUUCCCAUAGGAAUGCAUGGGUUAGGGUUAUGGUUAGGGUUAGGGUUGGAGCUAGGGUUAGGGUUAGGGUUAGGGUUGGAGUUAGGGUUAGUGUUGGCGCUAGGGUUAGGGUUGGGCUUGGAGCUAGGAUUUUUCUGAGUGCAAUGAACCAACUCCCGAGUCUCUAGGACGUUCCUAAAAAAAUUUGAUUUUUUCCCAUAGGAAUGCAUGGGUUAGGGUUAGGGUUAGGGUUGGAGCUAGGGUUAGGGUUAGGGUUAGGGUUGGAGAUAGGGUUAGUGUUGGAGCUAGGGUUAGGGUUGGGCUUGGAGCUAGGAUUUUUCUGAGUGCAAUGAACCAACUCCCGAGUCUCUAGGACGUUCCUAAAAAAAUUUGAUUUUUUCCCAUAGGAAUGCAUGGGUCAGGGUUAGGGUUAGGGUUGGAGCUAGGGUUAGGGUUAGGGUUAGGGUUGGAGUUAGGGUUAGUGUUGGAGCUAGGGUUAGGGUUGGGCUUGGAGCUAGGAUUUUUCUGAGUGCACUGAACCAACUCCCGAGUCUCUAGGACAUUCCUAAAAAAAUUUGAUUUUUUCCCAUAGGAAUGCAUGGGUUAGGGUUAGGGUUAGGGUUGGAGCUAGGGUUAGGGUUAGGGUUAGGGUUGGAGUUAGGGUUAGUGUUGGAGCUAGGGUUAGGGUUGGGCUUGGAGCUAGGAUUUUUCUGAGUGCACUGAACCAACUCCCGAGUCUCUAGGACAUUCCUAAAAAAAUUAGAUUUUUUCCCAUAGGAAUGCAUGGGUUAGGGUUAUGGUUAGGGUUAGGGUUGGAGCUAGGGUUAGGGUUAGGGUUAGGGUUGGAGUUAGGGUUGGUGUUGGAGCUAGGGUUAGGGUUGGGCUUUGAGCUAGGACUUUUCUGAGUGCAAUGAACCAACUCCCGAGUCUCUAGGACGUUCCCUAAAAAAAUUUGAUUUUUUCCCAUAGGAAUGCAUGGGUUAGGGUUAGGGUUAGGGUUAGGGUUGGAGCUAGGGUUAGGGUUAGGGUUAGGGUUAGAGUUAGGGUUAGUGUUGGAGCUAGGGUUAGGGUUGGGCUUGGAGCUAGGAUUUUUCUGAGUGCACUGAACCAACUCCCGAGUCUCUAGGACAUUCCUAAAAAAAAUUGACUUUUUCCCAUAGGAAUGCAUGGGUUAGGGUUAGGGUUAGGGUUAGGGUUGGAGCUAGGGUUAGGGUUAGGGUUAGGGUUGGAGUUAGGGUUAGUGUUGGAGCUAGGGUUAGGGUUGGGCUUGGAGCUAGGACUUUUCUGAGUGCAAUGAACCAACUCCCGAGUCUCUAGGACGUUCCCUAAAAAAAUUUGAUUUUUUCCCAUAGGAAUGCAUGGGUUAGGGUUAGGUGUGGGGUUGGAGCUAGGGUUAGGGUUAGGGUUAGGGUUGGAGUUAGGGUUAGUGUUGGAGCUAGGGUUAGGUUUGGGCUUGGAGCUAGGAUUUUUCUGAGUGCAAUGAACCAACUCCCGAGUCUCUAGGACGUUCCUAAAAAAUUUUGAUUUUUUCCCAUAGGAAUGCAUGGGUUAGGGUUAGGGUUAGGGUUGGAGCUAGGGUUAGGGUUAGGGUUAGGGUUGGAGUUAGGGUUAGUGUUGGAGCUAGGGUUAGGGUUGGGCUUGGAGCUAGGAUUUUUCUGAGUGCAAUGAACCAACUCCCGAGUCUCUAGGAAGUUCCUAAAAAAAUUUGAUUUUUUCCCAUAGGAAUGCAUGGGUUAGGGUUAGGGUUAGGGUUGGAGCUAGGGUUAGGGUUAGGGUUAGGGUUGGAGUUAGGGUUAGUGUUGGAGCGAGGGUUAGGGUUGGGCUUGGAGCUAGGAUUUUUCUGAGUGCAAUGAACCAACUCCCGAGUCUCUAGGACGUUCCUAAAAAAAUUUGAUUUUUUCCCAUAGGAAUGCAUGGGUUAGGGUUAGGGUUAGGGUUGGAGCUAGGGUUAGGGUUAGGGUUAGGGUUGGAGUUAGGGUUAGUGUUGGAGCUAGGGUUAGGGUUGGGCUUGGAGCUAGGAUUUUUCUGAGUGCAAUGAACCAACUCCCGAGUCUCUAGGACGUUCCUAAAAAAAUUUGAUUUUUUCCCAUAGGAAUGCAUGGGUUAGGGUUAGGGUUAGGGUUGGAGCUAGGGUUAGGGUUAGGGUUAGGGUUGGAGUUAGGGUUAGUGUUAGAGCUAGGGUAAGGUUUGGGCUUGGAGCUAGGAUUUUUCUGAGUGCAAUGAACCAACUCCCGAGUCUCUAGGACGUUCCUAAAAAAAUUUGAUUUUUUUCCAUAGGAAUGCAUGGGUUAGGGUUAUGGUUAGGGUUAGGGUUGGAGCUAGGGUUAGGGUUAGGGUUAGGGUUGGAGUUAGGGUUAGUGUUGGAGCUAGGGUUAGGGUUGGGCUUGGAGCUAGGAUUUAUCUGAGUGCAAUGAACCAA